rnacentral:rRNA from 1 species
UACAGAGGGUGCGAGCGUUUAAUCGGAGUUACUGGGCGUAAAGGGCGCGUAGGCGGUUGUUUUAAGUGAGAUGUGAAAUCCCUGGGCUUAACCUAGGAACUGCAUCUCAUACUGGACAGCUAGAGUAUUGUAGAGGGUAGUGGAAUUUCCGGUGUAGCGGUGAAAUGCGUAGAGAUCGGAAGGAACACCAGUGGCGAAGGCGGCUACCUGGACAAAUACUGACGCUGAGGCGCGAAAGCGUGGGGGAGCAAACAGG